UACGUAGGGUGCGAGCGUUAAUCGGAAUUACUGGGCGUAAAGCGUGCGCAGGCGGUUUGUUAAGACAGAUGUGAAAUCCCCGGGCUUAACCUGGGAACUGCAUUUGUGACUGGCAAGCUAGAGUAUGGCAGAGGGGGGUAGAAUUCCACGUGUAGCAGUGAAAUGCGUGGAGAUGUGGAGGAAUACCGAUGGCGAAGGCAGCCCCCUGGGCCAAUACUGACGCUCAUGCACGAAAGCGUGGGG
rnacentral:rRNA from 1 species